CUAACAAGGAUUCCCCUAGUAACUGCGAGUGAAGCGGGAAAAGCUCAAAUUUAAAAUCUGGCGGUCUUCGGCCGUCCGAGUUGUAAUCUGGAGAAGCGUUUUCCGCGCUGGACCGUGUACAAGUCUCUUGGAACAGAGCGUCAUAGAGGGUGAGAAUCCCGUCUUUGACACGGACUACCAGUGCUAUGUGAUGCGCUCUCGAUGAGUCGAGUUGUUUGGGAAUGCAGCUCAAAAUGGGUGGUAAAUUCCAUCUAAAGCUAAAUAUUGGCGAGAGACCGAUAGCGAACAAGUACCGUGAGGGAAAGAUGAAAAGCACUUUGGAAAGAGAGUUAAACAGUACGUGAAAUUGCUGAAAGGGAAACGAUUGAAGUCAGUCGCGUGUGCUAGAACUCAGCCUUGCUUUUGCUUGGUGCAUUUUCUAGUGUACGGGCCAGCAUCAGUUUUGGCCGCCGGAAAAAGGCCUUGGGAAUGUGGCACCUUCGGGUGUGUUAUAGCCCUUGGUUGUAUACGGUGGCUGGGACUGAGGAACAUAGCAUGCCUUUACGGCGGGGCUUCGGCCACCUUCAUGCUUUGGAUGCUGGCGUAAUGGCUUUAAACGACCCGUCUUGAAACACGGACCAAGGAGUCUAACAUGCCUGCGAGUGUUUGGGUGGAAAACCCGAGCGCGUAAUGAAAGUGAAAGUUGGGACUUCUGUCGUGGAAGGCACCGACGCCCGGACCAGACCUUCUGUGACGGAUCCGCGGUAGAGCAUGUAUGUUGGGACCCGAAAGAUGGUGAACUAUGCCUGAAUAGGGUGAAGCCAGAGGAAACUCUGGUGGAGGCUCGUAGCGAUUCUGACGUGCAAAUCGAUCGUCAAAUUUGGGUAUAGGG
rnacentral:rRNA from 1 species